UACAGUGUGGCAUAGUGGUUUGAGUGUUGGACUGUGACUCUGGAGACCAGGGUUUGAAACCCAGCUCAGCCU
rnacentral:tRNA from 1 species